rnacentral:rRNA from 1 species
UGAGGAAUAGUGGUCAAUGGACGCAAGUCUGAACCAGCCAAGUAGCGUGCAGGAUGACGGCCCUAUGGGGUGUAAACUGCUUUUAUAGGGGGAUAAAGUGGGGAACGGGUUCCCUUUUGCAGGUACCAUAUGAAUAAGGACCGGCUAAUUCCGUGCCAGCAGCCGCGGUAAUACGGAAGGUUCGGGCGUUAGCCGGAUUUAUUGGGUUUAAAGGGAGCGUAGGCCGUUUGGUAAGCGUGUUGUGAAAUGUAGGUGCUCAACUUCUAGGUUGCAGCGCGAACUGUCAGACUUGAGUGCGCACAACGUAGGGGGAAUUCAUGGUGUAGCGGUGAAAUGCUUAGAUAUCAUGAAGAACUCCGAUUGCGAAGGCACCUUACGGGAGCGCAACUGACGCUGUAGCUCGAAAGUGCGCGUAUCGAACAGG